rnacentral:rRNA from 1 species
AUGGCUAGGAUUAACUAUGGUGUCAUAUCUCUGAUCCCCAAAAUAGUUGGGGUGACGGAUAUUCGGCAAUUCCACCCCAUCACGGUAAUCAAUGUGUUGGAGCGAAUCUUUCUGAAGGUUUGUGUGACCUGUUUAUCCCUUGUGGCGGAAAGGAUUCACCCCCUUCAGUCCGCGUUCUUGAAGGGCCGGCGGAUCCCCUUCACGAGAUUAUCCAUGAGGUGGCGUCGAAGGGUGUCGGGGGUGUGGUCCGACAUAUUCCAAAGGAUGGCUUAUCAUGGAGGGGGCUAG